rnacentral:rRNA from 1 species
UACGUAGGUGGCAAGCGUUGUCCGGAAUUAUUGGGCGUAAAGCGCGCGCAGGCGGUCUUUUAAGUCUGAUGUGAAAGCCCACGGCUCAACCGUGGAGGGUCAUUGGAAACUGGGAGACUUGAGUGCAGAAGAGAAGAGUGGAAUUCCACGUGCAGCGGUGAAAUGCGUAGAGAUGUGGAGGAACACCAGUGGCGAAGGCGACUCUUUGGUCUGUAACUGACGCUGAGGCGCGAAAGCGUGGGGAGCAAACAGG